AAAACACCGAAAUCUCUGAUUGGCCUGGAAAUGCCACAAGCUUUUUUUUGUAAAGGUCUUAAGAGGAAUGAUGUGGUUAACUAUGCAUUAUCUGGGAAUUAUAUGCUUGAGCAUUAAAAUAGUAUGGUUUUGAGGAUCAGAAGAACCAACAUGACAAAGCACAUGAUAAUGAGCACGGAUGCGCACAUCACCAUCCCUCCUUGUUUCUGUGUUCUCUCUGCCUUUUGCAGUUGCUUAAGGCCCUCAUCGACGGUCGUUGCAACAUUUUGAAUAUUGUAA
rnacentral:misc_RNA from 1 species